UACAGAGGUCCCGAGCGUUGUUCGGAUUCACUGGGCGUAAAGGGUGCGUAGGCGGCUUGUCGCGUCGUCCGUGAAAACCUGCAGCUCAACUGCAGGCUUGCGGGCGAUACGGGCAGGCUAGAGUUCGGUAGGGGAGACUGGAAUUCCUGGUGUAGCGGUGAAAUGCGCAGAUAUCAGGAGGAACACCGGUGGCGAAGGCGGGUCUCUGGGCCACUACUGACGCUGAGAAGCGAAAGCAUGGGGAGCGAACAGG
rnacentral:rRNA from 1 species